AUUAUCUUCCCAUUAUAACAGGUUUGCAGAAUACUCAUUCCUCAACUCAAAGACGGCUGCUUGACCUGCUCUAUAUAUCGGCAGAUAUGAAGACUUCUGCUGUCUUGCUUGUCCUCGCAGUCAGCCUUUUUCUGCUUUCACCAGUUUCACUAUCUUCUGCAGAUAAGAGAUGUCAUUUGCCAAGAGUCUACGGAGAAUGCAGUGGUCAUUAUAGCAAAUAUUUCUAUAACUCAGAGACAAAAAAGUGUGAAACAUUCGACUAUAGUGGAUGCCAUGGAAAUCGCAAUAGAUUUACAUCCCUUGAAAUAUGCCAGAAAGUCUGCCAAAUAUAAGGUUCUGUGAUUUCCUCAUGACAUCUGCAUGUCACACAGAAAUUAUUUGGAAAAUACCCACAAUUUUUUUUUUUUACGUUAUUUGGAAGAUAUAUAAUAAAUUGUUGUCUUGUUUCUACAUUUAUUCAUUAUUUAUCUGUCCACCUGACUCUUCAUGCUCCAAGUCAGCUACCAACUAGAGAUUACUGAAUUGAUUCUUUAUUAAUCUGAUUGGUUACGAAUUUCUAAAAAAAGUUCUGCUGCCAGACAAAUCCAAAGUUUUUGCGAUUCACUUCGAACAACUCGAGCAAAAUGGUAUCAGCGUCAUGUUACAGUAAAAGUUGGCGGGGAAUAACAUCAGGGAGAAUGAAGAUAGAGGAUCACAUGACAUGAGGAGGGAGGGGGGGGUGUCCUGAUUGGCUCACUGGCUGACAGAGGCUGUGAGCCAAUCAGGGGUUAGGAAGGUCCUCCAGUCUCUGGGCUUCUCAUUCUGAGGCUAGCGUGUGACCUGCGUGCAUGUGUCUUGGAUGUGUCUGGCAGAAAGUAAUUGCAGACACAAGUUUGCAAUCUAGGUG